rnacentral:rRNA from 1 species
GGCGAUCAGAUACCGCCCUAGUUCUGACCGUAAACGAUGCCAACUAGCGAUCCGCCAGUCGACUCAUCGCUCUGGUGGGGAGCUUCCCGGAAACGAAAGUCUUCCGGUUCCGGGGGAAGUAUGGUUGCAAAGCUGAAACUUAAAGGAAUUGACGGAAGGGCACCACCAGGAGUGGAGCCUGCGGCUUAAUUUGACUCAACACGGGGAAACUCACCCGGCCCGGACACCGUAAGGAUUGACAGAUUGAUAGCUUUUUCAUGAUUCGGUGGAUGGUGGUGCAUGGCCGUUCUUAGUUCGUGGAGCGAUUUGUCUGGUUUAUUCCGAUAACGAGCGAGACUCUGGCCUACUAAAUAGUUGACGCAUUGCCACUGUGCGCACAACUUCUUAGAGGGAUUUUCGGUGUUUUCAACCGCACGAAAUUGAGCAAUAACAGGUCUGUGAUGCCCUUAGAUGUCCGGGGCUGCACGCGCGCUACACUGGCAAACGCAACGUGCCUGUCCUGCCCCGAAAGGAGCGGGUAAACCGAUGAAAAUUUGCCGUGAUUGGGAUCGGACAUUGCAAUUAUUGUCCGUGAACGAGGAAUCCCUUGUAAGGGCGAGUCAUCAACUCGUCCUGAAUACGUCCCUGCCCUUUGUA